ACGAACGCUGGCGGCGUGCUUCACCCAUGCAAGUCGCACGCUGAAGCUUGGUGCUUGCACUGGGUGGAUGAGUGGCGAACGGGUGAGUAAUACGUGAGUAACCUGCCCUUGACUCUGGGAUAAGCCUGGGAAACUGGGUCUAAUACUGGAUAUGACAUGCCACUGCAUGGUGGUGUGUGGAAAGGGUUUUACUGGUUUUGGAUGGGCUCACGGCCUAUCAGCUUGUUGGUGGGGUAAUGGCCUACCAAGGCGACGACGGGUAGCCGGCCUGAGAGGGUGACCGGCCACACUGGGACUGAGACACGGCCCAGACUCCUACGGGAGGCAGCAGUGGGGAAUAUUGCACAAUGGGCGGAAGCCUGAUGCAGCGACGCCGCGUGAGGGAUGACGGCCUUCGGGUUGUAAACCUCUUUCAGCACGGAAGAAGCGAGAGUGACGGUACGUGCAGAAGAAGCGCCGGCUAACUACGUG
rnacentral:rRNA from 1 species